rnacentral:rRNA from 1 species
UACAGAGGUCUCAAGCGUUGUUCGGAUUCAUUGGGCGUAAAGGGCGCGUAGGCGGCGGGGUAAGUCGGGUGUGAAAGUCCAGGGCUCAACCCUGGGAUGCCGGUGGAUACUGUCGGGCUCGAGUCCGGAAGAGGAGUGUGGAAUUCCUGGUGUAGCGGUGAAAUGCGCAGAUAUCAGGAGGAACACCAAUGGCGAAGGCAGCACUCUGGGACGUGACUGUCGCUGAGACGCGAAAGCGUGGGGAGCAAACAGG